UGUCACUGGGUGACAUCUCUGGGCUCAGCACAGACCACACAGAGCUUGAGUAGGAGCCUCCACGUGUCCUUUGGCUCCUGCUGCUUGGACGCUGUGGAGGUGACAUUGUCUGGAGCUCAGUGGCCUGGCACAGGGGGACAGCCCUGGACCUGUGCACAGCUUCACUCCAGGCAGGCUUUCCUGGUGACUUGAAGAUGAUCUGGGGGCAUCACCCUGUUUUCCAACUUGACAUGAGGUGGGUGGCAGGUUAAGCGGGGAGCACAUCCUCCUGCUCCACACCAGGAAGGCCACAGCUGGAUACUGGGACCAGUUUGGGGCUCCAAGGGAUCUCCAAAGCCUAGGGACAUCCUGGCAAGGUGGGUGGCAGCCAGGGCAAGCAAGGACAGACUGCGGGAGCUGGGCUUCCUCAACCAGAGGAGGAGGCAAAGGGGGAUCCAGUGGCACCUCCUUCUGCCCAAAGACAUCUCGGAGACGUUGGGGAUGGACUCUGCUUGGAGGGGCACAGUGUGAGCCCCUGAGGCUCUGGCACAGCUGCAGCAGCUGGAAACAGCAGCUGGUCCCAAGGAAACAGCCCAUCCCCACCAGGAUCCCCAUCCCUGGGAUGUCACCACUCACUCCAGCACAGCCACCAGGGACCUGCUGCAGCUGGGAGCGGGGAUGGAGCAGAGACCCCCGCCCCAAGGUACCUCAGCCUGUAAUGGCACAUCUGGGGACAUCAGUGUCCAGGUGACCAUCUUCAGGACUUGCUGGAGAGUGGAGAGCUCCAUGCUGGCUGAGAACUAGUCCUAGCAGUUGGAUUCAGAGAAUUCCUGAAAGGCUAUAGUAGGAUGGGGCAGGGACUUCACUGCUGCUGCCUCUGUGAAGCACCCAGCUCCCACUCGUCUUCUUACAACAGAACUGCUACACCCUUUGCUGCAAGAAAUCUGCCUCUUCCCAGCCUCUGCCACACUGCUAACUCAGCCUGGAGCACUUACAAAGCCAUUGCCUCCCGUCCUCCCAGGAUUUUAGCAUGCUGCUUGGAGAAUAAACCUGCUGGCAAAGUGAAUGCGAGGCAAUCUUCCCUUUUGAAAGCUGGCAGCUCACCGGGGCUCCCCGAGUCACUGCAGAGACACAGCACAGGUGAAACCCCACCCUGGUGCUGCUGAUUUCCCAGAGCAGGCUUUUCUCCUUCUUCUAACUCCUGCCUGGAGAGGUAACUGAGCUUUAACAAUUCCAUAAUUAAUGUCUCCUGGGCUGCUGGACCUGCCUGAGCAGGCAGGCACCGUCUGCAGGGAGGGGGAGGAUGUGGCAAUGCCGGCUUGGAGUGGGUCGGCUCCGCUCCAGGAUCACCCGGGCCCUGCUAGUGCGUGUGUGGGCCUGCAAAACCCUUUUGGGGAUAAGCACAGGUUUUCCAAGGAAAAAGGCACACAGAGACACGCAGCACAGCAACAAUCCACACCCACCUUUACGUUUAUUUAUUUACAGUUCAUGUCAGGGGUGGGAGAAAAAGCUUUUGGAACGAGCAGCACUGGCACGGUGGGAAAAAUCAAGGGCUGCAGCAUGUGAGGUGCAGUUCCUAUAGGAGUUUCCAAGCAAAUCAGAUCCAAACUCAUACCACAGCAUGCAGGAGGACAGAGAUAAUGACCCUGUCGAGCUGCUGGUGUAACACUGCUGUCCCUGUCCCCUUGUGCUGCUCGAGACCCUGCAACAGGGAGAGGGUGGCACUCCAACAGCCGUGCUCCUCCCUGUUGGGAGGGAUGGAAAGCACGUGCUGGUGUUAAAAAACAUUGUUCAAAUCAAUCUGCUCCAUAAACAGGUGCUGGGGACUGUCCUGAGGAGUUUUGACAGGGCUCCUUGGAAGAGGAGGCAGCACGGAGUGUUGGAGCCAACGGUGAUGGAGAAAAGGAGAUCACUGGCUGAUACUGCUGAUCUGAGAGGAUGACAUCACCUCCCCAUUAAUCACUGCUUGAAUAAUAAAGAAGCUGGACUGGAAUCUCCUCCAUCCUUUGGAAACAGGUAUUUUGGUCUCUUUUCCCAUUUAUGUUGCAGCUAAGACCCCUGCUCUGCAGCUCUUUAAAGCCAUGGCACGUGGAUUCAAUGUGCCCUUUGCUUGACUCCAUUCACCAGGUAUUUAAUUCUUAUUUUUCACUCUGCUGCCACGUUCUUAACACCACUUGCCACCAUCAGGGGCCAGGGACAAAGCCCUGUGGGGCUGCACCAGUUUGGAGCGACCUUUAUCGCUGUUUCUAUUUCUAAGGCUUUUAAAACCCCGUCAAACAUCAGGGCUGGUGUAAAAUCACCAACUAAAUAAUGUCACGUGGGGUCAAAAUGACACCAAGAUGGCAUCCCAAAGGCACCGAGCUGACAGUGCCAUUUGGUGUUUAAUGGUGGCAUGGAUGAAGGCACUAAAUAAAUUAUAGAACCCACAAAAAUGGUGUCAUCUGGUGUCAUAAACAUCAUCAGUGAGGCAAGGAUGUCAUCAAGUGAUGGUGUCAAUGACUGGGUACAGUCAUGGCUGCACUGAGACAGGUACCUACGGUGAGCGUGGUAAGAUGCUUACUGGGAUUUUAUUUAAGUUAGUUUAAUAUUAGUUCAUUAAUAAAGUAUCGGUGUGCUAAUA